AGCAUUUUGAUGACAUUUGACCAUUACAAAGAAUAACUCAUUUUGCAGCAAUUGUGGACAACUAGAUUCAACUGAAGCUGAAACUGUUCCACUGGGAAAUGUGCUAAAAGAAAGGAGGAGUCAGAGUUCUUUAUUUGUGCAAAUAAGGGAGGUGAAAACCUUAUAUUCCUUAGAAUCACCCCCUAGGACUUGUUCCUGCAGGAUAUUUUUCACAGAACCCAUAUAGGCUUACUAAGGUGCCCAGGCAAUUUUAAAAAAACACACCUGCUUGUUAUCAGCAUUUUCUCUUGGACCAAUAUAAGCAUCCUGGUAGUAAGAAUCUCUUUUGCAGGAUUAGAUUUAGGCUGCAGAAGGCUGUUCUGUGUUUCACCUUUGUUGCUGCUUCACAAGUGCAGUGGGACAGCUUUCCCUUCCAGACCUGGCUCUCUUAUAGCGUAUUCCCAGGGUGCCACUUGAGGCGUGUCACAGAAAAGUCUCAGCAACCUGCGAGGAAGGGAAAUGGUUGGUCAAUGGAAACGCAGCAUUUGGAAAGGUGUGUGUUUGCUACUAAUUAAAACUCAUCGCCUGGGCUCCAGCUGGUGGCAUUACAAAUGGGAGGAGGGCUCCUGCAGCACGGUAGCUAAGGACUUGCAGACAGAGCCUUCACAUCUCCACUUUGCCUUUCUGCUUUUACUAACAGCCCCCUCCAAAACUGAAGAAUGA
rnacentral:lncRNA from 1 species